CAAGCAAGCAAGCGAGGCCCCGGUGGGGCUCAUUCGGCUCUCACGCAAAAUUCACGCCUGCCGUCCCCCUCAAAGCCCGUCAGCAGUUACACUUCUCCGGCGAACCGCCGCUAGGCAAGUUCCUCAGGCGGGACAAAAUCGUGCCGAACGCGUCGGAAGCAACCCGCUCCACGACUGCAGCGCGUCUCCAUCGGACCGCCUGCCAGACAGUCGUGUGCUCAGGUGUCUUCCACGCCCCGGCCCGUGGUCCGCAGAGCUCCGCUCUCUAUCCGGCGCGCUGCUCUACGCUUUCUCGAAGGCCGCCGCACAUCCCAGCGAGAGAGACGAGCCCCGGCCACACAUCGCAUACCCGUUGGCAACAAAAGUGUCGCUGCUGUUGUAUUGCCUGCUCAGGCGAACGACGGUGACGUCAUGCCCUCCCGCGACGCGAGAAGACAGCGUAUAACGACAUCCGGCAGCCGGCCACCGAUCAGGUGCCGCACAUUCCGAGCCUGCCGCAGGGCCCGGUGUGCAUCAAGCAGUCCGUCCAGAAGUACAGGGACCGCGUGAUGCCCGAUUGGUUCCAAAAGGUCACGGAGGAAGCUGACAAGUGCCAGAGGCUCAAAAGGGGGCGGGCUCGUUACGCCAGGGACGACAGUGGCCCAUCGGCAGCACCUAAGGAAAAAUCAAAGGACAGUGUAAAAUCCGAUAGCCAAGACGAAUCGCUGCCAGAACCAAAGCGAAGAAAAUCGAAGAGAAGCAGAGGCAAAUCGAAAGCUGACAAAGAGGCGAAGGAGAGCGACGUGGAAGAAAGCAAGUGAAUCUAUAAAGUGCUCACCGGGGCCCCGAGCGCUUGUACUGACUGUUGUCACAUUCAUUAGUUAGUUAGCUGGUUAGUUAGUUACGCAGUUCAUUCAUCACACCGCCAUCUUUGAUGUCACGUUGAAGAUCGGCGCCUCGCUUUUGGUGCGAAUGUCAGAAAACGAUGUUCUGCGUUAAUUUUUUCCCGCCAAUAAUUUUUUAAAAAUCAGGCAGUGAAUUGUAAGCAGUGGUUUUAAAUAUUCAGUGAAAGUUUCCACAGCAUCGAUAACCGUUGACUGAAACAUAUGUUGAGAAUGUAUUGCUCGAAACUUGUGCAAAGUGCACGAUUUCUGCUAAAUGAAGAUGGCUUUAUUGCUCGUCAUGUUUUGGUUAUACAAUGCGAUUAGCCUAACAGCGAAUGAUUACAAAGUUAAUUAGUGUAAAUAAAGUUGUUAACUUGGCACUGCGAGUUCAAGUAAUCCGACUGAUGGGGCAGAACUUCGAUAUCUGACACGGUAGAUUUUUAAUGAUUCUGUAUUCUUUAUUAAAAUCACUGGUGAUACAGUUUAAUUGACCGCAUGCAGGUAAUUAUUGCGAGUAUAGGUGAUAUUUUGAA